AUACCCCCAUUUCAUCAACAAGCAGUUAAUUGGCAGUAGCGGCGACAACAAGAUCAGGAAGAUUAAUGGCAACCCCAACCCCAUUUCACUUUAAAACACCCCACGGUCCCCGUUCUUUCUGGAGAUUAAUGGCAGUAGCGGCGGCAACAAGAUCAGGAAGACAGAGCAGCACCGCCACUCCCGGCGGCGACAGUGGCGGCGGAGCACGGCGGCGACGGCAGAGGCACUACGGCGGACCAUCGAAGCCUCCGGUUUGUAGUCCCUCGAAGCAGCAGAUGUGCAUAAGAUUCGAGAGGUGAACUGCUUGGAUCUGCUUAUGUUUCUAGAUUUCAUGAUUGAAUGAGGCGCAUUUCUGAACUUAAUGUAAUAAAACAGGGUGCAUCAAACUUAGUCAUUUUCUGGGUUACCUUUCUAGAGUGUGUGGCGCAUUUCUUGAGGCAAGUGGCUAAAUGCAUCAAAUUGGGUUAUUAAUCUAGAAAUUGGGUGUUGAAAAUUUGGA